UACGAAGGGGGCUAGCGUUGUUCGGAAUCACUGGGCGUAAAGCGCACGUAGGCGGUCUUUUAAGUCGGGGGUGAAAUCCUGGAGCUCAACUCCAGAACUGCCUCGAUACUGGAAGACUCGAGUCCGGGAGAGGUGGAGUGGAACUGGCGAGUGUAGAGGUGAAAUUCGUAGAUAUUCGCAAGAACACCAGUGGCGAAGGCGGCUCACUGGCCCGGUACUGACGCUGAGGUGCGAAAGCGUGGGGAGCAAACAGGGAU
rnacentral:rRNA from 1 species